rnacentral:snRNA from 1 species
AUGCUUGCUUUGGCAACACAUAAACUAAAACUGGAGUGAUACAGAAGUGAUUAGCAUAGCCCCUGCACAAGGAUGACAUGCAAAUUCAUAUUUUU